rnacentral:rRNA from 1 species
AACACGGACCAAGGAGUCUAGCAUAUCUGCAAGCCGUAGCAAUCUUAAUUGUGAAGGCGUAAUGAAAGUGUAUUGUGUUAACAGCACAAACCGGGCCUUUCGGUCUGAGUUAGAGUAAAUAUGCUAGUACCCGAAAGGUGAUGAACUAUGCCCGGACUGGUUGAAGCCAGGAGAAAUCCUGGUGGAGGACCUCCCGCGGUGCUGACGUGCAAAUCGCUCGUCCGAGCUGGGUAUAGGAGCGAAAGACUCAUCGAAUCGCCUAGUAGCUGGUUCCUGCCGAAAUUUCCCUCAGGAUAGCGGAGAUUCAUAAUUAAUUUUGCCAGGUAAAGCUAAUGAUUAGAGAUCUUGGAGGUGGAUAACCUUCAAUCUAUUCUCAAACUUUAAAUGGGCAAUAUCCGGGGCUUACUUAAUGGAAGUACCGGUUUAAUAAGAAUCUCUAGUGGGCCGUGGUUUGGUAAGCAGAUCAGGUAAAGCGGGUUCAACCGUAAACAAUAAGGAAAGGCGUCCAAUACCGGUUUAAUACUCAUUAAAGGGUGUUAAUUCAUGAAGACAGCGGGACGGUGGCCAUGGAAGUCGGUAUCCGCUAAGGAGUGUGUAACAACUCACCCGCCGAAUGAAUUAGCCCCGAAAAUGGAUGACGGCUAAGCCGGUAGCCGAUCCUUAGUCCCUCUUCUAGAUUUCUUGAAGAGGGGGUAGGCAGGCGUGAUGGUUGCAACGAAGCUCUUGGGUGACUGGGAGUGGAGCGGCCAUCAGUGCAGAUCUUGGUAGUAGUAGCAACCAUUCUUACGAGUUUCAACUUCUCCAUGAGCAAUCAUGGAUUCAGAAGCUUUGAAGGUCGUUGUGGACCAGGUUUCCUUACCUCUGGCGCUCAUGUAAGGGUUAGUCGGUCCUAACUCGGUGGUUAACACUAGAAAUAGUCCUAAAGCAGGAAUUACCGAGGAAAGGGAAUCAGGUUAAUAUUCCUGAACCCGAGUCAUGGAGGAUGCCUUCGGGUGUCAAGUCUGACGCGGCGACGCGGAGUGUGGAUUAGAGCCAUGUGCGUGGAGCUCCGGUAGAGUUAUCUCUUCUCCUUAAUAGCCAACACUUGAUCAUGAAGCCUCGGUGGAAUGGCGAGUGGCGAGUAACAGAGGAGUUGCGUGCAGCAGAGAUUCUGUUAUUUGCGGGUUAGAAGGGCAAGUCUUUAUGGCUUGUGAGGGUCUUCGCGUGCAUAAGUUAAAAUCUAAUUCAGCUCUGGACUCAAUCCUAUGACUCGGUCCGUACCGUAGUCCGCAUCAGGUGUCCGAGGCUAGCAGCCUCUGACCUAUUAGAGCAAUGUAGGUAAGGGAAGUCGGCAAAAUAGACUUGUUGCUUCGGUGGAAAGGUUGGCUCUUGUAGUGAUGAUUAUUGGCUGCUUCGUGAAAUCUGGCGCCGCAAGGUUACGCAAGUAGGAGUGGAUGGCGCAAGCCAGCAAGCUUUUAUUGUUGCUGGACGUAGCGUUGUAGCAGGCAGAGCAAACUUGUUUGCAAAGUCGCACAAUGAUCAUUUCGUCACAAUACGAGAACUCAUGGAGUCUAGGGGAAUCCAACUGUUUAAUUAAAACAAAGCAAGGUGUCCGAAUCGUAACGGUCCUGCACACCUUGUGAUUUCUGCCCAGUGCUCUGAAUGUCAAAGUGAAGAGAUUCGAUCAAGCACGGGUUAACGGCGGGAGUAACUAUGACUCUCUUAAGGUAGCCAAAUGCCUCGUCAUUUAAUUUGUGACGCGCAUGAAUGGAACAAUGAGAUUCCCACUGUCCCUACCUACUGUCUAGCGAACCUACAGCCAAGGGAACGGGCUUGGGUUGGUUAGCGGGGAAAGAAGACCCUGUUGAGUUUGACUCUAGUCUGGCGUUGUAGAAUAACGAAGGAGGUAUAGUAUAGGUGGGAGCUCCGGCGUCAAUGUAAUACCACUACUCCUUAUUGUUAUUCUACUAACUUCAUAAGAGAACGAGUGUAGCGAUACACUUUUCUGGUAAAAAGAAUUCGAGUUCAUGAUCGAUGGAGAACAUCGCCAGGUGGGGAGUUUGGCUGGGGCGGCACAUCUGUUAAAAGAUAACGCAGGUGUACAAAGGUCAUCACAACAAGGUCAGAAACCUUGUGUUGCGGAUAAGGCCAAUAGAUGGCUUGACUAAUACCUCCAGUAAAGGUAUUAGAUGCGAAAGCAUGUCCCAGCGAUCCUUUAGUUUCUGUGGCAACACAGGAUCUCAAAGUUUGAGGCUAGAGGUGUCAGAAAAUUACCAUAGGGAUAACUGGCUUGUGGCCGCCAAGCGUUCAUAGCGACGUGGCUUUUUGAUCCUUCGAUGUCGGCUCUUCCUAUCAUUGCGAAGCAGAAUUCGCAAAGUGUUGGAUUGUUCACCCACUAACAGGGAACGUGAGCUGGGUUUAGACCGUCGUGAGACAGGUUAGUUUUACCCUACUAACCAAUUUCGGUGCCAGUAGUAAAUCUUAGUACGAGAGGAACAGCUUUGCCAUGCAUUUAGUUGCAGGUCCGUUUGAAAUGAUGUGGCUUUUCGCCACGCAUGUAGAUGUAUAACUGAAAGCCUCUAAGUUAUGAGUCUUACUGUGAUGCUGAGUUAGGUUCAGUCCCACUGAGUAAACAUAAAGAUUAUCUCUAUCUAGUGGUAGCCAAAAGGGAUUGGACCGUAUCAAAUAAGGAGACCACUUAUGACCCCUCUUUGAAGGGACCUACUGUCGUACCU